UACGUAGGGUGCGAGCGUUGUCCGGAAUUAUUGGGCGUAAAGAGCUCGUAGGCGGUCUGUUACGUCGGCUGUGAAAACCUGGGGCUCAACCCCGGGCCUGCAGCCGAUACGGGCAGACUAGAAUUCGGUAGGGGAGACUGGAAUUCCUGGUGUAGCGGUGAAAUGCGCAGAUAUCAGGAGGAACACCGGUGGCGAAGGCGGGUCUCUGGGCCGAUAUUGACGCUGAGGAGCGAAAGCGUGGGGAGCGAACAGG
rnacentral:rRNA from 1 species